rnacentral:rRNA from 1 species
UACGAAGGGGGCUAGCGUUGUUCGGAAUCACUGGGCGUAAAGGGCGCGUAGGCGGUCUUUUAAGUCGGGGGUGAAAGCCUGUGGCUCAACCACAGAAUUGCCUUCGAUACUGGGAGACUUGAGUUCGGAAGAGGUUGGUGGAACUGCGAGUGUAGAGGUGAAAUUCGUAGAUAUUCGCAAGAACACCGGUGGCGAAGGCGGCCAACUGGUCCGACACUGACGCUGAGGCGCGAAAGCGUGGGGAGCAAACAGG